AGUACCGUGAGGGAAAGGUGAAAAGAACCCCGGGAGGGGAGUGAAAUAGAACAUGAAACCCUAUGCUUACAAACAGACAAAGCACGUUAAGGUGUGAUGUCGUACUUUUUGUAGAACGGUCCAGCGAGUUAUUGUAUAUGGCAAGGUUAAGCACUAUGUAAGGUGUGAAGCCGAAGCGAAAGCGAGUCUGAAAAGGGCGAAUUAAGUCAUAUGUAAUAGACCCGAAACCGGGUGACCUAACCAUGGUCAGGAUGAAGCUUGAGUAAAAUCAAGUGGAGGUCCGAACUGAUAAGCGUUAAAAAGCUUCCGGAUGAACUGUGGUUAGCGGAGAAAUUCCAAUCGAACUCGGAGAUAGCUGGUUCUCCUCGAAAUAGCUUUAGGGCUAGCCUUGAUGUAAAGAUAUAUGGGGGUAGAGCACUGAAGGUGCUAGGGGCCUAAACCAGGUUACUGAACACUAUCAAACUCCGAAUACCAUAUAUUAGUAGUCAGGAGUCAGACUGCGGGAGCUAAGUUCCGUGGUCAAAAGGGAAAGAGCCCAGAUCGUCAAUUAAGGUCCCAAAGAUAUAGCUAAGUGGGAAACGAUGUGAAAUUGCGUAAACAACCAGGAUGUUGGCUUAGAAGCAGCCAUACAUUUAAAGAGUGCGUAAUAGCUCACUGGUCGAGUGAAUUUGCGCGGAAAAUUACCGGGGCUAAGCUAUACACCGAAAUUGCGGGUUAUGAUGUAUCUAAUAAUGUGUAUCAUAAUAAGAAGAUAAAUUUUCUGUUAAAAACAUGAAAUGUUUUUAACCAAAAUGUUCAAAAGGAUAAGGUAUACAAGAAAAGGUGCAUAUUAUUAGAUACAUUGUAGCGGUAGAGGAGCAUUCUGUAGUAGGGUGAAGUAUGAUCGAAAGGACAUAUGGACGAGGCAGAAGAGAGAAUGCUGGAAUAAGUAGCGAGAGCAAAGUGAGAAUCUUUGCCGUCGAAAGUCUAAGGUUUCCUGGGGAAGGUUCGUCCGCCCAGGGUAAGUCGGGACCUAAGGUGAGGCCAAGGAGGCGUAGCCGAUGGAUAGCAGGUAUAAAAUUCCUGCACUACCGAAAUACUUAAAAACGAUAAGGGACGCAGGAGAGGAAGGAAAUCCGGGAAGAGGAAAAACCGGAGCCGAAAGGCAUAGUGAAAAUUUAAAGUAACGAAGUUCCAAGAAUCACACUGACGAGAAAAGCUUAUUGACAUUGUAUUAAGGUACCCGUACCGCAAACCGACACAGGUAGAUGAGGAGAGGAUCCUAAGACGAGCGAGAGAAGUACUGUUAAGGAACUCGGCAAACUAACCCCGUAACUUAGGGAGAAGGGGUACCUAUGUAAAAGUAGGUCGCAGAGAAGAGUCCCAAGCAACUGUUUAACAAAAACACAGGUUUCUGCUAAAUCGAAAGAUGAAGUAUAGGAGCUGACGCCUGCCCAGUGCUGGAAGGUUAAGGGGAAAUGUUAGAGUAAUCGAAGCAUAGAACUAAAGCCCCAGUGAACGGCGGCCGUAACUAUAACGGUCCUAAGGUAGCGAAAUUCCUUGUCAGGUAAGUUCUGACCCGCACGAAAGGCGUAAUGAUUUGGGAGCUGUCUCGACAGUAUACUCGGCGAAAUUGUAGUACUAGUGAAGAUGCUAGUUACCUGCGACAAGACAGAAAGACCCCAUGGAGCUUUACUGUAGCUUGAUAUUGGGUUUCGGUAAUUUAUGUACAGGAUAGGUGGGAGACUAUGAAGCAAGAGCGUCAGCUUUUGUGGAGUCACCCUUGGGAUACCACCCUUAAAUUAUUGGAAUUCUAACCUGUGAUCAUGAACUGGUCAGGGGACAAUGUCAGGCGGGCAGUUUGACUGGGGCGGUCGCCUCCUAAAGAGUAACGGAGGCGCCCAAAGGUUUCCUCAACCCGGACAGAAAUCGGGUGAAAGAGUGCAAAGGCAGAAGGAAGCUUAACUGAAAGACAGACAUGUCGAGCAGAUACGAAAGUAGGGCUUAGUGAUCCGGUGGUAUGUGAGUGGAAAUGCCAUCGCUCAACGGACAAAAGUUACCCUGGGGAUAACAGGCUUAUCUCUCCCAAGAGUUCACAUCGACGGGGAGGUUUGGCACCUCGAUGUCGGCUCAUCGCAUCCUGGAGCGGAAGUACGUUCCAAGGGUUGGGCUGUUCGCCCAUUAAAGCGGUACGCGAGCUGGGUUCAGAACGU
rnacentral:rRNA from 1 species